GAGUAUGUCGGAGGGAAGAGGGGCAAUCAGAAGAGUACCGUCACGGGAGUUGGCUAGUUAAAGUUGAUUAAAGUUAUGUCGUGGUACCGUCAGUUGAGCCAAAGUGAAAAGAAGAGGAUCAUCUCCAGACGGUUGCGUCGUGGCGAGAAAUCUUCGUGGGAUCUUUCACGAUUGAGCAAGGGAGGAACGUAAAGAUUUAUCGUGUCGUUGUUACUCAAAUAUUAGAAAUUGAUAAAUUUCUGGCUUUUAAAUCCGAGUGUAAAAUGUGAUGAGCUUCGAAAUCGACAUUCGUGAAACUAAAAAUUCGAAGGUUUUUUUCGUUACGCAUUUAUAAUCGCACUCGAACGAGCUCGUUAAAGAGAAAUCAAAUUAUGGUAUUUACACUCCGUUAAUCAUCGAAAGUGGCAUCGAGCUGACAGUUCAACGUAUACGAACCAUUCGAAUUACAUAAUGGAAAUUGAUAAUGGCUUGGAUGUCGCGCGCGUGCUAUUUUCUUUCCUAUUUUUAAUGUACCAGCCAAAGUUUAAAUCGUCGCUUGAUUUUCUCUUUUUGUUUUUUUUUUUUUUUUUGAGAAGGUUAACUGUAGCUUCCGAAAGAUAAAAGUAGUUCUAUCUCGGCAAAAUCGUAGGCAGAUUUGUUCGAGGAUAAAAACGAAUCGGAUCCAAGAUGGAAAGUUGAAUUAAGAUCCGAUUAAAUAGGAUAUUUGAAAGGAGCCAAUAUUAGGUGUUCUGCGCGUCUGUCCCGGAUAAGUAUCGGAGCAACAGAAAAUCGCCUCGCUUCUCUUACGAUUUAGCACAAUGUAAUUUGACCUGAGCAUACUGUAAUGUAAUCAUUGAAUGUCAAGAUUGCUUGAAAAAAAAAAAAAGAAGGAAAGAAGGGAGAAGAACAGAAGAUAAGGAAAUGGAUUUGCCAAGAUAUAUGGGUCUCGAUAAAACUAUCGUUUGUUUCUUUAUCGCGUGCUACUUUUCUUACGACGCAGUCUGGUCGAAAGAGGAUACCAAUCAUGUAAAAAUUUUAAUCUCGCAAACGACCGAAUACUUCGAGCGUGCUAAAAACGCUCCAAGAUAGGAUUUAAUAUACUCAUCGUUGAUUGAUAACUGACGACGUUUACAAUUAUCAACAUGCGAUACUAUCUGCAUUGCAUUCACGGUUAAUCGUACGUUGACCUUAUCCGAAAGAAAAAUAAAUCCUACAGAUUUGAUCACCAAUUCAAUUCUAUUCGUUUCCAUCAAAGGCUUUCAGUUCUCCAGGCUUUAAUCGACACAGUCGCGGACGUAAUUGAAGGGAAAGCUAAGCAAGCAAAUCGCGAUGAAUUCGCUGAAUGAACGAUAACACGGUAGUACUCGGUGUUUCUCCAAGUGUCGCAGAAUCGAUCAUUCGUCAAGAAAAAAAUCACAUACACGUAACGUGUUGCAAUUUCUUUAAAAAUAUCGAUAAAAUUCCUUUAUCGAGAGUUCUUGUUAUUAAUCGUCAUUAUGAUCACGUUACUUUUCCACAAUAUUUUUCGCACUUAGCGCAAGAUGUAACGUAGAAAAGAGGUCAUAUACAUAUAUCUGAAUGCCAAGCGUAUUUACAUUUAUCGGUAUGUCAACCAAACGAUACAUUUCAACAGGAGCGAGAUAAUCUGCUCUUACGAUGAAAAUGUGAACUAGUUAUCUAUUAGUCAGUUACUAAACACAAUGUCAUGACAAACAUGAAAGAGUAACAGCACGGACGAAGUAUGCAUAACGUACGGCUAAUAUACAUCAGGAAACUUCGUAUUUCAUCGAUUUAGAACGGUGAAUUCGAGAAAUUGUAUUUGUGGCAAUAGCUAAGCCGCGGAUGUUUAUGCAUUUCUGAAAAAUUUAAAGACGUACAAAUCUUUAGACUCUCUCUAUAUGUAAAAUGUAAAAAUAUGUAAAAUAUGUAAAAUGAUCUCUAUAUGUAAAAAAAACAUAUAACAUAUUCAAAGCAUAGUGUUUCAUAUAACGUUUUGCAUUUGAAACAAAUUAUCACAUAGAUUUUACUUUUUCAGUUAAUAAUGUAACUAAAUUUGCAUAAACACUGGUGGUCUAGUAAUCACUGAAGUUACAAAAUAUCUAGUGCCGCAUCGCGUGAAAUAAAUCAUUCAUCAGUGAUCAUUAUUUGCAUUCUUGUACAUACAAUUACGUCUGCGUAAAAUUAACCCGUACAUAAUACAUUAAACAGACAAUAAUAAAUAACUUUGCGCAGUUAUUAAAGAGUUUCGAGAAAAUUCAACGUUAUGUUUAUUUACGAAUUUCUUAUUCUUCAAAUUUACAAAACCAAGCACGAGAUCUUGGCCUUCUUUAUUAAAUUAAACUUAGAUAUUAGUAAUACGAUAACUACAAACAUUAGCCUAUGGUCUAAUUGAAUAAAGCAUGUAGCGUUUCUUCAUA